rnacentral:rRNA from 1 species
AUUGCACGCUGGCGGCAGGCCUAACACAUGCAAGUCGAACGAGUGGCGGACGGGUGAGUAAUAUCUGGGAAACUGCCUGAUGGAGGGGGCUAACUACUGGAAACGGUAGCUAAUACCGCAUACCAUCAGAUGUGCCCAGAUGGGAUUAGCUAGUUGGUGGGGUAACGGCUCACCAAGGCGACGAUCCCUAGCUGGGCUGAGAGGAUGACAAGCCACACUGGAACGGAGACACGGUCCAUACUCCUACGGGAGGCAGCAGUGGGGAAGAUGGCACAAUGGGCGCAAGCCUGAGAAAGCCAGGCCGCGUGUAUGAAGAAGGCCGUCGGGUUGUAAAGUACUUUCAGCGGGGAGGCGUUACCCGCAGAAGAAGCACCGGCUAACUCCGUGCCAGCAGCCGCGGUAAUAC